GACGAACGCUGGCGGCGUGCCUAAUACAUGCAAGUCGAGCGAAGUUUUUCUGGUGCUUGCACCGGAAAAACUUAGCGGCGAACGGGUGAGUAACACGUAAAGAACCUGCCUCAUAGACUGGGACAACUAUUGGAAACGAUAGCUAAUACCGGAUAAUAGCAUUAACUGCAUGGUUGAUGUUUAAAAGUUGGUUUUGCUAACACUAUGAGAUGGCUUUGCGGUGCAUUAGCUAGUUGGUGGGGUAAAGGCCUACCAAGGCGACGAUGCAUAGCCGACCUGAGAGGGUGAUCGGCCACACUGGGACUGAGACACGGCCCAGACUCCUACGGGAGGCAGCAGUAGGGAAUCUUCCGCAAGGGGCGAAAGCCUGACGGAGCAACGCCGCGGGAGUGAAGAAGGAUUUCGGUUCGUAAAGCUCUGUUGUUAGGGAAGAAUGAGUGUGUAGUAACUAUACACAGUAGAGACGGUACCUAACCAGAAAGCCACGGCUAACUACGUG
rnacentral:rRNA from 1 species